rnacentral:tRNA from 1 species
GGCUCUGUAGCUUAANUGGAUAGAGCACCUGACUACGGAUCAGGAGGUUAGGGGUUCGAAUCCCUUCAGAGUCA